rnacentral:lncRNA from 1 species
UAAUUUUUUAGCUUAUUUGGGAUUGCUCCUCUAAUUUAUGAGAAGGAACAGUUAGUUGAAGUUUGUGUGUUUCGCAAAAACUUGUGAUUCUGGUAGAGCCUCAAGUGUUAGAUGUACAUAAAGGUAGAGCCUCAAGUGUUAGGUGUACAUAAAGAAGCAUUUAAGAUGAGCUUUCAUUUUGUAUUGUUAUAAAUGCAAAUCUCUCAAAGAUUAUCUUCUUAUGAGAAGCUUUAAUGUAUGAAAAGAACAUCUGCUCUCUUCUGUACAGAAGAAUCUGGAUCUAAUGUAACACUGUCACUACACAUCUGUUCAACCCUCUUUUAAGUUUCCCUCUCUAUGGAUAAUUAAAAGUUUCUUUUCACUUUUCCUUUCUUACUAUGCUAAUAAGCAUAUAAUCAAAGCUGUUUAAACUUGAAAAGUCAUUAAAUCUCUACAACCUAUACUAGCAGGUCUUGCAGUUCUUGCAAGUCGGCAAAAAUAAAAGCAAAUAUGCCCAUAAUAUAAUCAAAUGCUGUUUGGUUAACUCGCAAUGGUUAAAAAAACAAACAAAUUUACUCCAAUAAGCUUAAAAAACACCUUUCAUCUCACAACCCUAGCAAAGAAAAUUAGUCAUAUAUAGCCGCGGUGCGCAUACAUAUAAAUACACAGUAAGAUGAACAACACUUAGUAUGCUACCACUAUCAGAAGGAAGACUCACAUUAUUAUUAUUAUCUAAAACUCCAAACAUAAAUCCAGAGCACUAAAAGCACUAUACCAGUUCAACUCUUCCCAAAAUAGUGGCAUAGAUAAACUUUGAAAUUUACAGGCAAGCUAGCUAUAUAAUUUCCUGAAAUACAACAGUCGACGCCCAAUGAACAUAUCUCUGCUGAUGCAAAUAUUAAUUCAGCAACCGAUAGUUUCAGCAAAUUUAGCUACUCGGGGAGUUUUCGCUGCUCAGAUAUCCCCAUGAUGAACAUGAUUAGGAACUUCAGAUUGAUUGUCCAAUGGCAUGUACUGAGCCAUAAUGGCGCGAAUCUCCGAAUCCAUAUAGCUCUGUAAGGAAAAAAAAAAACAUUAUAAAAACAAAAAUGUAACAAGGAGUUAGAUUACAAGUUGGGAAGCUGAAACUUCUUGACACUUUUACGCUGCGGCAGAAGCAGAUGCUUCAAAUUGAAGCUUCCGCAUUUAGGCCCAAAAGCUCAUUUAAGCUUCACGGGGCAUGGUUUGUCAAAUGCUUGGUUUCAGAAGCUUCUGCUUUUUGGUGAAAAGACACUGCUCGAGAAGCCAGUAAACAUGCACUAAUAUUUGUUAACACAAAAUCAAACAGAAUAGUGGCUUUACCCGAAUCCUGUACUUGUACACCGCAUAGCCUCCAAUUCCAGCUGCUGCAAGGCCGAGGAAUAUUACCCAUAUGAAGCUCCAGCCGACCUCCGUGGUUGGUUUCUUACCUGGAUAUGUUUCAUUACCAAGUAUAAAAGUUAGCCUAACUUCAUCUAGCUGCCUUUAGGGACAUUUACUCGUCAAGCAAUUUAUAGAAGGCAUGUGAAAAAUCAAAGAGUAUUUAUUUGAAAAAAAGAAAAAGAAAAAAACAUCUGGAAAUAAGAGGCAAGGCAUACAGAGAUAUAAAAUAUACUCACUUAUGCAUGUAUCAUGCUCCUUCAUGUACAACAAAUCUCCACGACAAUUGCACUCGUAGCUUCCCCAAGUGUUUUUGCAUUUGCAUCCUGAACACUGACAUGCAGUUCUCUCUUUGCAUUCGUCAAUAUCUGAAACAAAAAGAAGUCACACAGAAUUACAAGUUUUCAAGGGAAAAUCUCAACAAUCUCAAAGAGUAUAUAAGAUGAAGCCCGUGAGAGUAAAUACCUUCACAUUUUUUGUUUCCGUCACCUUUAAAGCCAGGAGGGCAUUUACAUCCCCCAUCCUGGAUGAUCAAUAUGAAGUCGCUUAGAUUUCAGCCAACAAAAAUUUCGACGAAAAGAAAAGGUCACUCACCACACAGGCAGAGUAGGUUUGACCAUUUCUAGUUUCUUUCCAACAUCCUCCAUUGUUAAUUUCACACCUACCAGAUCCUGAAGCUGAAAUAAGAAGAAAAUAUUGUUGAAAAAUACAAUAGUACUAGUUGAGAAAAUAAUGAUUUAGAACCUAUAUCCCCAGGCCAGUCCCAAAAAAAUGUAGCCACUAUUCGAACAAAAAACUGACAAAAAAAGAUGAUUCGUUAUUUAAGCGAUAUCAAAGUGCUAAUCACAUUAUUUACACGAAGGAAUGAAGAGCAUUAAAAAAUAAAAAUAAAAAAAAAAAUCAGAAUUCAGAUUCUGUACGAACAUAUCAUGCAACAACACAACGCAAUCUUCAGCCUCACUCAUUCGAGAUUAUUGACUAAGGUACAUAAUCUGCUUAGACUGGUUAAAAUCAAAAGAAAUAUAAGCUUUAUGGAUUUACGGUAUACCUUCACAAUGGGUGUAUCCAUCUCCUACAAACUUCACACCUUUCACAAUUGGGCACUCACAAACUCUCCCACGAAAAGUAUCCUACAUUAAGAUAAGAACAAUUCAAAACCAACAGGGAAACCAAUACUUUUCUGAUAACCGAAAGCAUAAAAUUGAUGAACAAAAUCACAAAUACCUUGCACGCUGUGACAUUAGCGGCCUUAUCGUGCCAGCAUCCACCAUUAUUUUCCAAGCACUCAUUUGUUUCUAUGCCUGAAAAAUUAAGAUAUAUAGGAAUAUAAGCUAGCUCAUCCGUAAAGAUUCUCAGGACAUUAAAAGGUCAGAACAUAGCAAUAUACACUCGUAUAAAUCAAACCACCUUCACUUAAACAAACAGCUGGCUCAGUAGUCUCCUGAAAACCAGCACAAAUUGCUUUGAGCACCGCACCCUUAUCAAGCUUCCCUGUAAAAAUAACAAGAUACGGGGCUCAAUAAAAUCAUAAACCAUUUCCCGCUAAUCAUUAUAUUCAAAAGCAUUUACCUCUGUAUUGUCUGUUGUUAAUGACAAGAGUCGGUAAGAUGGUUACGUCCCCACGCGAGCCCUUGCCAAUCUAAGGUAACAAACAAAAUAAUAUAAAUCAAAGUUUUCUGAAAGUUCUGAAUACGGUCCUGGGCAUGAUGCAAAAAACUUCUCUACUGAAUUAAUUAUGUUAUUAACCUGUGCAUCCUGUUCAGCUUUAAGCACAGGGUUUUCUUCAUCAGCAUCAGGAUUCCCAACACAUUUAUUUAUCUUCUUAAGAUCGAGACCUGCCAAGGCAUAACUCACAACCUAACCAUUAUUUCACAUGUUUCGAUAACACAAAUUUUGUAUAGAGAACCUUCUAGAAAGCAUAAAUAACACAUGCAAGUACAAAAUUUACCUAAUGACUUGAUCACCUCUUCAGCACACUCCUUCGUAUAUUUUUUCUCCUUCAUAGGGCACCUAAUCGCGAAAUCGGUCACGUAAUCCCACCACAACCACGGCUUUCUACUCUCGUUUGCGACUUUAAACACGCAAACCUGGCGCAAGUUUUGAACCACAACAUCUUUCCCGUCAUACCCCUUACUAAAAUCCUGUUCUGGGUCAGGUGCACAGUACCGUCCGUGGUUAAUACACUGCGACUUGCACUGCUUGCUUAAUAUGAAAGCUUCGGGACAAUACCACGUAAUAUAAUGCGGAGUGAACUGGGUAUAACCCUUCUUCUCAAGUAUCUGCGCCGCUCCUUUGAAGCUCUUCACAAAUUCAAUUUGGCUCUCACAUUUGGCGCCGCAUUCAUCAUUACUAUUAGUCCAAAACUCAUACUCGACACGCUCGUCUGGGUGGGGAAGGGACUCCCUCCAAUCCAAGUUUACAUUCACCAUAUCGCCAUUGUCCAGAGCUUUCUUAAGGCUGUCACCAAAGCUUUUGCUAACAAGUGCUGAAGGGACGGUAAUGUUCUGGAAAUAGUCGGCCACGCUACUGUCUUCUUCGGGUGUAUCCAUGGUUAUCAAGGGUUCGACCUUGUUAUCGGCGACAAGAAUAGCAGCGGCACCCGCAUUCUGCGCAUUCCAUGCCUUUGUCGUGAAGUAACAAUCUGUUCAUAUUAGAAAAAGUGCUGAUACCAAGUUACUUGUAUAGUUGUAUGGAUUUAAUGUAACAUUAUUAAAUUUGGGUCAUGAACUAUAAUUGAUACAUAAAAACUAUCAAUCAUCCAUUGAAGAGUAAACACCAAAGAAAGAAAAGUAAGUUCUUCAUGUCAAGUCGCAUCUGAUUUAUCUUUUUUUCUUCUUUUUUUUUUCCUUUUUCUGGUAAGAUAUUUCCUUAAAUCCUCAAAUGAACAUUUGGAACAUGUGAUGUUAGACACUUCCCAGAUCCAAUAAUUAGUAUCAUAAAAAUCUAAGGAUGGCACAUCUGGUAGUUCGCACCUAACUAAGGGCCCAUUAUAUUGCCUACCAAGUCAAUCCCACAUAAUUAAUUUCUUCUCAACUGUCACUCUCUGAUCCUUUUGGGUAAGGUAUUAUUUAUGAGAAAUUAAGCAGAUAAUAUCUCAAAGAAGUGAACUCUCUUGUAAAUAAGAACUUCAACAUCAGAUAUCAUUCACAAAGAUAAUAGAUAAUGCUAUAAGCCAAAAAAAAAAAAAAGGAGAAAGAGAGGGAGAGAAAACCAUAAUACUAAGUGAUCAUCUGAGCGAAUAUUUGUUGCACUUCGAAGUAAUAAUUGAUCAUUAGAGCAAAUAUUUGUAGCACUUCCAAGCGACUCCACUAUAGUUAAUCAUAUUAAGUAUCCAAAGAAGUAUGAAAAGUUUGGUAAAGAAUCAAAAUUUGGCAAAGAAUCACAUGUAUAAGAUGCACAAAAUUUUACUCUAAUAAGUUCCUUUUUGCAGAUUGAGUAACCAAGAGCCAUAUCAAAACAUUAUACUAAGUAACUUUUUUGCAAAUAUAUGUAACUUUUUUUUUUAUUUAAACAAAACAUACGAAAAGAUAUUUAAAAAAAACAAAAAAUGUAAGGGGAAAAAACUGAUCUCACCUCCUCUGUCAACAAGAAGAAAGGUGGGGAACGCUCCGGGCUUGGAUUUGAAAGAGAUAUCAAACUCAUCAAAGCUCUUACAAGCCUUUCGAUUAGAUUUUGGGUACACCACAAACCCUAGCAUGGUUCCACCAUACUGAGGAAUCCCAAAAUUCCCAAUUGCGCACUCAUAAAUCCCCUUCAAAUCCUCAGGGGAAGUCACCUUCAAGCUAUUCUUCUCCACAACGAAUCUCCCCCAACAGGAUCCCCACAGAAACAAAACCCAAAUCGAAAACCACAAUUUCCCCCUCAUUUUAAAUCCCAAAACGAAAAUUUCCACAAAAGGUAAGCUAAUCCAAGGGCAUUUAGAGGGAAAAACCCCAAAUCCUCCCCCCCCCUCCCCCGUUAAGAACCCCAAUUUGGAAAGAGAACUUAACAACUUAAUCUUUAUCACAAGCCUCAAAACACAAAGAUCAAAUUUUUCCCCGGAUAUCUCAAAACUCUAGCACAAAUCUCACAAGGUGCGAAUUUUUACCCAAAUAUCUCAAAUUUCUCACCGAAUGAUCAAAUUUUGAAGAGAACCCAGAUCAAAAUGCGCCUCGAAAACCCCAAAUUCGAAGCAAAUUCGAAGUAAUAAGCACCGAAAACACCCAAUCUCUCUCUCUCUCUCUCCCUCCACCUCUCCCACUCCAAUUUAGGGUUUCAGUGUACGAUUUGAGAAGCGUCGUGUUCACAGCGUGGCGUUCUCGGCGCAUAGAAACCGACUUCGGGAGCAUCCGAACCUCAAUCAUGCGUUUGCGUGAAAUCUCAGCCGUUGGAUUUAGUCGAUCUAUCCCUCUCUCUCCCUCUCUCUCACGUGUUACACGAUGGGGGGGCUUCUUCGGUGUAACCGUGAUAUGUCACGCUUCCUCGUUGAUAAUGUAUUAUUGGUGAUUUGGUGUCGCGCUUGUGAGUGUGACAUGCGGUGACUCCACCGUGACAUCCAAAGCAUUUUUGUUCUAUUAUUAUUAUUGGGAAAACUUCAAAAAAAACCCAGUGGUUUCAUACUUUUUUAUUUUAGUACUCUAUAAUUUGAAGUGUAUCAAGUUAGUACCCUGUGGUUUCGCACUUUCUCACUUCAGUACCCUGUGGUUUAAAGUGUAUCGAGUUAGUACUAUAUGAUUUUAUUUUUGUAUCAUGUUAGUACCCUAUGAUUUUAUUUUUGUAUCAAGUUAGUACCAUAUGAUUUUAUUUUUCUCUUAAUGAAAUAUUAAACCACAGGGUACUAAAGUGAGAAAGUGCGAAACCACAGAUACUAACUUGAUACACUUUAAACCACAGAGUACUAAAGUGAAAAAGUGCGAAACUACAAGGUACUAACUUGAUACACUUUAAAUCACAGAGUACUAAAGUGAAAAAGAGUAAAACCACAAGGUGGGUAUUUGAAGUUUCCGCUAUUAUUAUUAUUAUUAUUAUUGUCAAAAAAACCCCUUCAUGCUUUAUCCUCUUUUUAAUUAUCGGUUUGCUUAAAUUACCAAAAUACCCCUCAUACUUUGUCCUCUAUUUCAGUUAUUUUCGUACACAACAAUUUAGCGGUAAAAUUUUUAUUAGUUUAAUAAGAAAAUCAGUGUGGGUAAUAAUUAAAUUUUUAAAGAAAAAAAUAACAUUUUACUCCUUUUAUUUAUUUAUAUUUUAAUAAAUUUAUCUAAAAAUGUAAAGUAACUCGAUUUUAAAUUUGAAAUCUUAAAUAUCAACUAAUUCACAAAUAGAUGAUAAAAAAUUAAUUAUAUUAAAAAUGAACGUAUGUAGCAAAUCCUAUGCACGGUGUUGUAGGAAAUUUGCUUUCAUGAAAAUCACAUGCAAUAAUUUGCUACAGGGCAGUGGUCCAACUGUGCAUUAAUUAUUGUCGACAAAAAAUUAAUUUAUCAAAGAUCUGUGACGCAACAUUAUAAAAUUGGGGUAAAUUAUUUUAUUCAGGAUUUUUAGAGUACCAGAGUACUUUUAAAUGUAUUAUUUUGGAAUUCAAACAAAAGAGGUACAAGCUCUGCAUUGAUGCAGCAAAUUAUAUAUUACUUUUAUCGGCAAAAUCAAUCAUCAGUAUUAUUAAAUGCGAUCUAAACGGUCUCGAAAAUUAUAUUUUUAUAAUUUUUCAACAUCAAUUACGUAGUGAUUAAGGAGUCUCAAAUUCACUUUACACUAGCUGUUAAAUUUAUCAACCGUGAGGUUAUUUGAAUAAAAGAUAAAUUGUAUCGUAAAAUUAUAAAAUUUAAAAAUAUAAAAAAUUCUAAUAUUAUUAAAUAAUUUUGAAUGCGUCAAUUGUGAAUUUUGGAUAUUCCAUUGGUGGAGUCAAUGCGGAAGUAAAUAAUCUAGUUUACUUCCAUGUUUGUGUGCGUGCAUGUUUACAAACACUUAGGGCGUGUUUUGUUUUGAUCGUAGUCGGAGUUGAAGUAGUUGAGUUAUUGUGACCGGAGUUCGCCGGAAUUUGGAUGGAAUUGCAGAGCUGGACUUACAUGGGACCUAUGCAGCGUACGUGCGCGAAUCAGUCUCACGAGAUGACGAGUUCGCAUACGGUACGAACUUACGACUUCGCUCUCGACGAGAGCAAAGUCAUGCUCUGCCGUACUAACAGAAGUGGCCGAGUUCGACGGGGUGUGGUUCCAUCUUACCCUUUUUUGUGGAAAGCCCGAACUUGAACUUGAACUCUAACUCGACCCAAUAGGCUAGCGCAAUUAGCCCACUUGGAAUACCUCAACAAAUUUGGCCCACUUUGUUCAUUUGGGCUGGCUCGUUUGUUUAAUAAACGAUCUAAACACGGGUUAAAAUUUUCGAACUCCGAAGGACCAAAGCUGAACAAGCCAAAUAUAAGCCGAGAUCAGCUUGCUCAUGUUUGGCUUAAUAUAACUCGAAUAUAUUACAAAUUUUCACUAUUUGAAUUUUAGGCUAAUUCAAAUAUUAAAAAAUCUAUAGUUUUGUAAAUUUUAAUUAUAAAUUAAAUUUUUAUUUUUUUAUUUUUUAGUCUAAUAAUAGAGCUGGCAAUAUAACUUGCAGUUCGGGUGCUUCAGCUCGUUAAUAAAUAAACUGAAUGUGAGCUAAAUAUUUUAGUUUGAUAUUUUAACGAGCCGGCUUAUUCAUAUUCGGUUGGUUCUUUGACGGCCCUAUGCAUUUAACCAAUCCGAAUAAUGUUGUAUUUAUGAUUAAUCGCCAAACCUUACAUUGUUAAUGUUAUCCAUCCAAACAAUCCCUUCUCUUAUUAUGGUGACUCAUCUCUUAUUUAAGUCAAAACAUGUAAAAUAAGAGGUUUUAGAUUCAAAAUUUACUAAUCAUGGUGAUUGUCAUAUGCUACCAACUAAUAGAAAAUUUAAUGAAAAAAAUUAUUUAUGUAGCUAGUAUUAAUUUGAUAAAAUUAAAGGGGCUAGCUAGAAUCUACAAAUGCCCAAUUUUUCAUGUGUGUCUACUACAAUUAUUUCUUAAAAAAAAAAGAAAAAAAUGUACAAAACUUAUCUUAUAUAUAGGCUAAUUUGAGUUGACUAUCCAAUCUUUUAGAAUUUUAACAAACAUUUCAAUUCGUUUGAUACCCUAUGAUUUUAACUUUCUUACUGAUGUAAAGAAAAAAAUUAACAAAUGAGAUAACGAGAAAAGAAAAAUGAACCACAAAAUACUAAAGUGAUACACCUUAAACUACAGGACACCAAAGUGAAAAAAAUAUGAAACUAUUGGAAUAAUAUUGGAAAUUAUUCUAAAAUUGUAUAAUAAAAUUAAAAUUUGAAAAAUUAGAUAGGUGAUCCAAAAUAUUUUUAAGUAUAGUACAUUUUUACUCAAAAUAUGUUGAAAAGUGAAAAAAAUAAAAAGCAACGUGUCAGAUCAUCAGCCGUUGGAUAACUCCCGUAAUCCAUGAUCUGGACACCGCACUACCUACCAACAAUAAAACCAGCCUCAACUCUUAAAACCGUCUCUGGUUUUGGUUUUAUUAUCCUUCACAUUCCUACUCGAACUGGGCGAUGGUCGCCCGUAACCUCGAGGAGCAAAUCUAACACAAAUUUACCACGAAGCCCUCUAACUAGGGUUUAUCUCUACCGAUCUCCUCUCUCGCGUCUCUCUCCCCCCUCUUUUCUAGGGCUUCGAUCUCCUCUCUCGCUCUCACGACCCCUCUUGGUCGAUCCCGAUCGGGGCGAUGUCGAUGGAGAAGGAGCUCGUGGAGACCUUCGAGGCGGCGAAGAAGGCGGCGGACGCGGCGGCGGACGCGGGCGCCGGAGGCGGCGGAGGGUCGCCGGAGGCGGAGCGGUGCGUCGACGCGCUGAAGCGGCUGAGGAAGAUGCGGGUCACCACGGAGGUUCUCGUGGCGACGCAGGUGCAGUCCGAUCGUCUCCUCCCCCCCGAAUUUCUAAUCUUUCGCAUGAUUUCUUGGGUUGGAUUUUGGAUCCGUUUCUUUCUACUUUAUUGGCAAAAAGAGGGCAUCUUUGGCGAUUUUUUGUUGGAAAAAAUAGGUCGUCUUCGAUAAUUAGGUCGCGAAUACGCAUUAGUUGUUGUUGUUGGUGUUGUUGAAGCUUUAUCUUUACGGUGGUUGGCUUCGUUGCGUCCGUAUAGAGCUUUUGAUCUAUCUCUCUUUACAUUGCUUUCAAUCAAAGAUAUGCUUUUGGACCUUGUGGUUCUGGGACCUUGGAUCGUUACAGGUUAAAAAGUUGAAUCUGUUGUACUUGCCAUUAUCUGUUACGUUGCAUUGCCGCAUCCUGAGAUCUUCAUGUAAGUAGGAAUCGGUAUAGCAGAUUUGGGAUUUGAUUACUUCAAUUACUCGGGAGAAACAUUUGUGGAGGUUUUUGUUAAUGUAACAUGCCCUUAUUAGUGCAAAAUUGUGGUCUCAUUGAAGCUGGAAUUUUUAAAGGAUGCUGCUCAUCGUGCAUUUUCUAGAAGGAAUAUACUUUUCGGAAAAUUUUGCCAUAAUUUUGUCACUGUUAGAUCAAAUUGUUCUUUCUGAAUGAGAAAAGGAUUUGAAAAGAUUUUUCGUCAAGUUUUUGAUUGCCCGUGCGAUGGUAUUUUCAUGUUUGCAUUUGUUUUACUCCCAAGAGAUUCGCAUUAGAGGAAUCGCGACAAUAAAACAUGCUGCUUUUUGUGAACUUCUUCUUCCAUGAACCUAUUUUUGGGUAACAUUGGUUACUGCACUAAAUGCUAUUUUGUCAUUCCUCACUAGUACAUUUCCUUUUGGUAUCUCCUUCCCACUUGACACACCUUCUACUUGAAUAAAAUCAUUGGUUCUUGCUAAUGCCGUUGAUCUUUUGUUAGCCAUGUUCAAAGUGUAUUUGGUUUUCAGUUUCCUGUAAGUUAUCUUCUACUCUAAUCCUGUAGUUGGUUAAGUUGGGUUCUGCAACACAAGUUGCAAUAAAAGGUUCUAUGAACAUGUAGAGAAAGACCGGUAAUAUUGAAAGGAGUGCGUUAGAAUUAAGUAUGUUUAUGUUAGUCCACAGUAGUUGAAAUGCUUUCUAUUUUCUACUGCUCGCCUUUUUUAUCUUAUGUUUUUUCAGCAUCACAACUACUGCUUAUAAGCACGAGGAUCUUCAAAAGUUCAAAUGCUUUGUCACUAACUAAUUGAAAUAUACUAAGAUUUGCAGAUAUAUUUUAAACACUGCUUUUUCAUGCCUUAUCGUAUGCAGAUAGUUUGUGACGACAUGAUUUAUUUUCUAUUAAAAAUCUGUAUCCUGUUCGUUUCAGCUUUCAUGAGCAGAGUUCUGUAUAGGAUAGCUUGUGACAACAUGAUUUGUUUUCUUUUUAUAAUCUGUAUCCCAUUUGUUUAAACUUCCAUUGUCUAAUUUUAACUAUUCCUUAUUUUUCUUUUUCGCAGACUUUUUUUUGUCCUAUGUACAUAUUCUUUUUUCCCUCUGAAGAUCUUUUAACUUUGGUUUUAUAUCUUACAGGUUGGGAAACGCCUUCGUUAUCUCACAAAGCAUCCACACUCAGGAAUCCAAUCAAUCGCUUCUGACUUACUGGCUAUUUGGAAAAACAUCGUUAUAGAAGAGACUUCUAGCAGCAAGAAAAAUGGCAUCUCCGAGAAUAAAAAGCCUGUUAAGGUCGAAAUCAAGUCUGAGACAGCCAUGAAGGUUGACAAGUCAGCAACUUCCUCCAUAAAAGUCGAGAGCACCCCAGCUUCAGCAACUCCUAAGGCUGAGAAAAGAGAUUCAGAUCUUAGCAGUUCAAAGUCGGAGAGCACAAAGAAUGAAAGGGUCUUCAAGGAAGAGAAUAAGGCUUCUGUUUCAAAGAAGCCAUCAUCCCUCCCAUCUGGACCUCCGAAGUUAUCAUCACUAAUCAAAAGUAACGAUCCAGCGCGAGAUAAAAUCCGUGAGCUCCUUGCCGAAGCCUUUACUAAGGUUUCCGGAGAAACGGCCAAAGAUGACAGAGAUGAAGUUAGAUACAUUCUAGAUGAGGUUGAUGCCUGCGACCCGUUCCGCAUUGCUGUGACAGUAGAAUCGGCGCUGUUUGAGAAGCUGGGCAAAUCAACUGGCACGCACAAGCAGAAGUACCGAUCGAUAAUGUUCAAUCUGAGGGCCGAGAAUAAUACUGAUUUCAGAAGGAGGGUUCUUCUUGGGAAAGUAAAGCCCGAAAGACUUGUCGAUUUAACUCCUGAAGAAAUGGCCAGCGAUGCGAGGAAGAUGGCGAAUAAGCAGAUUAAAGAGAAGGCACUGUUCGAGUGUGAAAGGGCUGGGGCCCCGAAGGCGACGACCGACCAGUUUAAGUGCGGGCGGUGCGGGCAGCGGAAGACGACUUACUAUCAGCUGCAGACGCGGAGCGCAGACGAGCCGAUGACAACCUUCGUGACGUGCGUGAACUGCAACAAUCACUGGAAGUUCUGUUGAGCGGGCCGCAAUCUGAUUCACUAGUCUGAUCGAGAUCUCGUUAUUUUCGUAUUCAAAAUUAACUAUAGCUAGUUUAAAUUUCUAAUUUAUAAUGGACCAAAUUCGUUCUCUUGCUGAGUUUGUUAGCAAUGGCACCAUUCUACUGCAAAAUGGUUGUUGUAUGAUCUUUGUCUUGUCACUAGAUGGUAUCUGUGAAAUUCUCUCCAAUUCCUUUCAUCCUUAGAAUUUGUAGUGGUAUCCCCCCGGAUCAAGUAAUCUGAGAGAUAAUUCCUAAUUGGGCACGCAUUUGUAGUUUAAUCUGAGAGAUAAUUCCUAAUUGGGCACACAUUUUCAUGGUUUGAGAAGUAAACUAAUUGCCUACUGGGCUUCUGUUUUUUCUCGGAUUUGAAGAAGUUGCUUUCGCAGGCGAAGUUUCAUGUUAUAGCAUGUUGGAAGUUUGAAUGAUUUUUAUAGGUUUAAAAUAGGGAAUAACAAAAAUCUAGGCUUUGUUUGACAUAAUCACUGCCCUAUUGUUUUGGUAAAUUUUGGUAGAUUUAUAGACUACAAGUGUUAUAUUUAUGUUAAAGGAAAUAUACGAAAAUGACAGUAAUGCAAAGUAAGGUCCUAAUUCAUUACUUUUUUCGACUUUAAAGAUUUUAUUUUGAAAUGUUACGCAUUUGUUUUAAAUAUAGUUUUUUAAAUAAAAUAAAAUAAAUACAGAAUAAUUAAAUAUAGUCUUUUUAGACUAUAAAAUGAUAAAAUAAAAAUAAGCUAAAUCUCGAGCUAAAUAAUAAUAAUAAUAAUAAUAAGUAAAAUAUCGGGUAGGGACCUAAACGAGGUCCUGUCGUUCUUUCGACACGUGGCAUUUGUCGCCCCCACACUUCCCAGGCUGAGGAUAAUUAUUGCCUGCACCAGGUGCAUACAUACUCUUCUUUCCACAGCGAGGCUAAUGAUGCAAAUUGUACGACUCGGUGCAUGAAAUUUAUGGUACACCAGGUGUACCCAAAACAAAUACCGAAGAGGAGAAGCCAAAGAGGGACGAGCAGAAUGAGUGAGCAAACGCAACCGAGCAACUGCUUCUUCUUCUUCUUCUUCUUCUUCUUCGUCGUCGUCGUCGACGGAGUCCAACAAUGGCGAUCACGGCCAUGAGGGGCGCAUCCCUCGCUCGAUCCCCUCUCCUCCUCCCCCACUCCCACGUACUCCCCUCCCCAUCUCCUCCUCCUCUCUCUUCAGGAUCCAUCACUUUAUUAUUACUAUUUUUUUAAAAAAAAUUUGCGAAAUUUUGGGUGUAAAUUUCGUCUUUUGAUGCUGUUGAGUUGUUGUGAUUUUGAUGUGGGGAUCCGGAUUUGAAGUUGCAGUUGCCUCUAGUGAUAGUUUCUGCCUCUUUUGAUGCUAUUGACUUGUUGGGAUUUUGCUGUGGGAAUCGAAUUUGAAGCUGCAGUUGCCUCGUGUGAAUCGUAGGAUUCAUUACUUUAAUUUUUUUUUAAUUUUGCUGAAUUUAGAGUAUAAAAUUUCCUCUUUUGAUGCUAUUGAGUCGUUGGGAUUGUGAUGUGGGAAUUUGAAUUUUGAACUUGUUGUUGCCUUUUAUGAGUAGUGGAUCGUAGGAUUUGUCGCUUUAAAUUUUUAAGUCAUAAAACUCUUAAUUAUACAUUUCUUCUUCUUUUGUGCUAUUGAGUUUUUGGGAUUGUGAUGUGGGAAUUUGAAUUUUGAACUUGUUGUUGCCUCUUGUGAGUAGGGGUUCGUAGGAUCCAUCGCUUUAGAUUUUUUAAAUUUAUAAAAUUAAGUAUAAAUUUCCUCUCCUUUUGUGCUAUUCAGUUGUUGGGGAUUUUGAUGUGGGAAUUUGAAUUUUGAAGUUGCAGUUGCCUCUUGUGAGUAGUAGUAGAUCGGUGCGGUUGAUGAGGAAGAUGACUAAUGGAGGGUCGAGUAGGUUGAAGCUACUCGCUCGGUAUUCGCAAGCUCAGGAUGUUUCUACUCGCAAUAUCCAAGGUACCGAAAGUAGUAUCAAAUCUAGUUUUGUAGACCUAAUUAUAUGUUAGAUUCUGAUUUUACCUAUAAUUGAGGUAGAGUAGUUCACUGGGAUGGAAGUAGGGUUUUUCUAAGUCACUUAAUUAGAUGACCGGCCUAUCCAUGAUGAAUACCAUCCCGGAAAAAAAGUGAUGAAUACCCAUUGUGCAAUAGUACCUGUGGAGUAAUUGUUGAGUAUACAAUAUCAAAACAUCGUUCUUUAAAAGCUUAAGUUUUUACAGUAAUAGGUUGUUUCACAUGACAUCUACGCUGGAUAUCUUGAAUUCAAAUCCUACCAAGUGUUGAGUUCCGUUUAAUUUCCUCCCACUUAGUUUUAUAUCAUGGUUUUGGACCUAAGCCUUGAGCCCAGAUACGAGGGAAAGUGUUAAAUAUAAAAUUGUAUGAAUACCAUUCCUUAGUAGCUUAAGCUUUUAGAGUAAUCAAUUGUUUCACAUUGGAUAUGGUGAGGUGUUGCGCAAACUUCAGCAUUAGCCUGGCCUCAACCUGAGUCCGAAGUUAAGGGGUGACUGUUGUAGAAUCAAUCCCUAGCAACCUUACAUAGUUGUAUGUUGGGCAAAUAGUACAGUAUCUAUAAGCCAACAUUUUCAAAUUUAGAGUGUCAAAUUGCCUCAUCAUUUCAUCUUGGUCUUGUUGAUUUAGUAUAACUAUACCGCACAUCCUAAUUUUCAUGCACAGUUGCGUAUAAUGCUUUAUUUUGAUCCAGACAGGAUAAAUGAGUUGCCAAAGCUAGUGGAAGACAUUCUCCAAACAUCACUCAGUACAGGACCUCGGGGUGCACUGAGGAUGGCCCAAGGCAUCCAAGCUGUUAUUGGGGUUGGUUCAGAGUGGCUAAAUGAUGUGUCAAAGGUACAGAGAUAUACAUUACCCUCUACAAAAUAAAGUUUCCAGCAAUAGAUGAAACAUUAUCAAUGUAAAAAUUUUGCUUUCUUUGCAUUAGUUAAGUGCUUUUCUGGCAAUGCUUAUCUGAUUUGGUGAACUGAAUCAUCUAGAUGCUCUGUGCAAAUGUCAAUACCCAAUAUAAACGAUUAUAAUUGAUUAUUGAGCUGAGAAGUGCGUGCACUUUUCACUAAUCCUAAAGAAUAAUUUUUUUUCAUUUAAAUUUUUUUGUACCUUAUUGUCUCUCCAAGAAAGUAUUUUGAGGGAGGUGCAACGAAUAUGUCUAGAUCUUUUCUUUUAUGUUAAGGUCCUUUCUCUGAAAAGGCUGUACAGUUUGUCCGGACUUGGCCCAAUGAUGAGUUGGACUAAAAACCUCUCAAAUAAAGCAAAUAAGCUAUGCAAGCCAGACAAUUUUCUGUAUAACUAAUAUACUUAGGCAAACAGGAUAUAUAGUUCUUAGUACAGAGGAGUCAUUUAACCCUUCAUGAACCAUGAUACGUAUUAUAAACUUAUCUCUAGAUGCUGCUUGUGGUGUUCAAAUUAUAGAGAGGAACUUCAGUAGUAGUAAAAGCUUUUAUCUUCAAUUUCAUGCAGACAACAAGCACAAGCACUUCUUCGAGGGUACCAACCGACAUGCAGCUUGGAUUGCUGUCUCCAAUUUAUGUGCGGAAAUUAUUUGAACGCAUGGGAGCAACUUACAUCAAGUUAGGCCAGGUAAAGAGAUGCAUGUUAUAUGUUAACUUUGAAUUCCCCUUUUGUAGCUCGAAGACUUUAGCAAUGUAUUAUCUUUUCUGGUAUAUUUCGUAUUCUCUUAAAUCGAUAAGCUUACUAAUCUUCCGCUGCUGGAAAGAGAAUAUAUUGCUCCUCUGAUGUUUUCUCAAAUUUAUAGCUAUGUUUUCUUGUGAUCGUAUUUAUGUGCUGAAAAGGUGGCACCCAGUUUACUGACAAAUCUUGGUGGUUAUAAUUUCUCAUAAUUCGUCAAUCAGAAUUUCAACUGAUUACUCAGAGGUGCAGUUCAUAGCAUCUGCACCUACAUUGUUUCCUGCAGAAUAUGUAGAGGAAUUUCAGAAGUGCUUUGAUCGUGCUCCGGCUGUCCCUUUCAAUCAGAUUGAGGCUAUCUUGCGUGAAGAAUUGCAGAGGCCAUUAGAUAGUGUCUAUGAGUAUAUUGAUCCAGUUCCCAUUGCCUCAGCCUCAAUUGCUCAGGUUUGUAUGCUGACCUCCCUAAUUAAAAUAUUUAUUGUUUAAUCCUGCAAAUAUAGCUAUUAAUGGAUUUGUCCCUUCAAUCUUGAUUUGAUAUAUUUACCCUUCAAGAAAUGCUAUCCUUAUAUUUACGAAAAUACCUUAUUUAUAGUUUCUCUUAAUAUAAAACCAAUUUCCCUCAUAAAUUGGGUGACACCCAACUUAAGAUAAGUGUAUUUUGUAGUUUUGGGGGAUAUAUAUGGAAAUUCAGAUGUUAGAUGAAUGUAUUUGUAAGUAGAUGAAUUGUUAGGGUUUAUGUAUGUGAAAGACCCUUUUUGUUUUUACUGUGUUUCAUAUGAGGUUGCACUUUUGAAGAUUUCUGUAACUUCGUUCCAGGUUCAUGCUGCAAGGCUGAAAAAUUCUGGGGAAGAUGUGGUUAUAAAAGUAUUGAAACCUGGUAUAGAAGAUAUACUGGUUGCAGAUCUGAACUUUGUUUAUAUCAUUGCUCGCAUACUGGAGUUCAUAAACCCAGAACUUCGUAGGACAUCUAUGGUAAGUCGUUUCCAUACUUACAAGCUAUCGAUGAAAUAGGUGAAAGGCCAAAAAAGUGGCGUUGUCUGCAUUGUCUGUUCAGGAGCCUCUUUAAAAUGAAAAAAAAAGAAAAAAUGAAAACUCCCAUUGAGAACUAUUAUUUUGCAUAUUUGUAUGUAGAUACUCUGCUAGACUACCUCGAGUCAUCGAACACUAAGACCCCUGCUCUUUCCUUUGUUCCAUCACCACCAUUAUCUCCAGUCCCAUCUGCACAUGUUCGUCCUUUGUUCCACCACCCUAAUCGUCGCCAACCCCGGCCCCCACUUCACCCUACAUUCCACCACAUUGAUCUCUACCGGCUCCUUUCUUUUCCUCCCUUGUUUCUAAUCUGGUUGAUUGGUUCAAAAUAUUUGGGAUUUCAGCACGGUGAAGCUCUGGACUUCGGUGCUCAGGAGCUGAUGACAACUUCCACUCUCUGUGUCUUUCUCCUUUGCUUUCCUUUUCUAUUUUCCUUUUCAUGUGUGUUCCCUGUUUCAAGUGUGUUUUCCUGUUUCUUUUCUUCGCAUUUUUAGGUGCAGAUCUGUUAACCUCAGGUCAAUUUGUAGGGGUUUUGGUUCCGCCCUAGCGGCGAUUGUUUUUGUUUCGUUCGCUUUGUUGUUACCCAAAUAGGGUUUAUCCCUGUUUACUCAAAAAAAAAAAAAAAAAAAAGUAUGAAUUUGACAACAUAUCGAUAACUUCUGGAGCUAGUAUUUCUUAAUCCAUACUGUAUUGCACACGCAUCUCAAUGCUAAUUGCAUUGCACACCAAUCACCUUUUGAUUUGCCCCUUUCAUAUAUAAUCCUUGUUUUAUUGAAUUAGUUGAUAUUUUUUUGUCUCUUCACUGCUAUUUCUCCCUCAUAGCAUCAUAACAAAGAUGUUAAAUAGGAAUUACAUCUGUCCCUUUCUUAGCAUGAAUACCAUUUGCUUUUCUUCCUUUAAAAUUUAGCCCUAAAUUUACCUUACUUUAUGGAUUUAACUUGUUUUAUCUAAGAGAUUUAAUUAAACCUCGCAUUUUGUUCUGUGCUUUCUGAAAUUUCCUUAAAUAGAACAAAACUCAUGCUGAAAUAGGAAAAUUGUUCUUUGUUUUCAAAUGCUAUAUUUCUUUACAGUUAAAACUACUGUCGUAGGUGGCUAUUAUAGGAGAUAUAAAAGAAUCAAUGCUGGAAGAGGUCGACUUCCGAAAAGAGGCUGUCAAUAUCGAGUCCUUCAGAAGAUAUUUAGAAAACAUGGGACUUGGAAAUCAGGCCAAGGCUCCAACAGUAUAUAGACAUUGUAGCACGCGGCGUGUGUUGACAAUGGAAAGGCUCUAUGGAGUUCCCCUUACUGAUCUUGAUUCCAUAAGAGCUCUUGUUCCCGAUCCCGAGUUGUCUCUUGUAACUGCUCUCAAUGUCUGGUAAAGGAUAUAGUCUAUCAGCACUGAAUUUCCUCUCAAUACUGAAGUUUGUCAUGUGACCUUUCUUCAAUUCUGUAGUUGAUGCUGCUGUUAUUGUUUUCUAUCUAAGCUCAGUCCUAGUUGUGGUGCUGAUGAUACGACAAUUGUGCAGGUUUGGAAGCUUGAUUGCAUGUGAGACAUUCCAUGCUGAUGUACAUGCAGGGAACUUGUGGUUACUACGUGAUGGCCGUAUUGGAUUCCUUGAUUUCGGUAUGUUUUAGGCCAAUCCAACUCCAGAAUGUUAGAGUUAUACCCAACUCUGCAUUAUGUGUCCGCAUUCGAUAUUUAUACCAGUGAAAAACGAUCUUUCUUAAAUUUAUAUCCUUAAACCUGAAUUUCCAUAUACGCCUUUUUCUAAUAUGCAACCAGUGUCUUCCUUUAAGCGGAUACUAGCCAACUUUAUAAAAGGAUAAUUUUUAAGUUACUGCAUUUCAAGGUGUUUGUAUGCAAAUUCAGAGCAUAACACUCUGAUUUCUAAGACUUUUUCCAAAAAGCUUGCUUACUACUAUUCAUCAAUAUUAUUGAUAUAUGUAUUUGCAUGUUUAGUUUCCACUACAAAUUUUUUGAUUGAAGUUGAAGUGUAGAUCUUAAACAUGUAGAUGAUGAUGAAUAAAGUAUUUUUGUGGUCCAUGCAUUUCUUUUUUUCUCUUUCCCCUUGCCAUGUUUUCUUCUUUGCAAGUAAACAUUACUAACAAGCCAAAAUCUACCAUAAUUGGCUGUACUCAUGAUAAAGUGCCACAAAUUACUUGAAAUUGAAACGCAAGGUACUCAGGCAGUAAUUUUGCAGGAAUUGUCGGACGAAUCUCUCCGAAGACAUGGGCUGCUAUGGAGAUCUUUUUGGAAUCUUUUGCAACUGAGAAUUACGAAUCCAUGGCUUCUGCCUUAGUAGAUAUGGGUGCGACUGGAAAGAAUGUUGAUGUUAAGGCUUUUGCAAGAGAUUUAGAAAAAAUAUUUUCAUCUAUACAGGUAUAGCUGUCCCACAGUGAUUGAUCAUUUGAAGCAUAGAGACUAUCUGUAUCCGAGCAGCUGCACUAUAUUUUUCAGUAUAUUUGUUUUUUACUCAUUUUGUAUUUUUGUUUCCUGUUUAGUUUGUCUAUAAGAUAGCUAUCUUCUUAUCCCUAAAAAAAAUGCUUAUUGAGGUGGUAGUUGCAGUUUUUCAUGCGGCUUUGGUCCUUAUAGGUGACAUUCAUCAUUUCUUGUAGGAGUUGGAUACAGAAAUUUUUGUUGCGACAUCAAGAGGGCCGAAUGCCACAGCGGUAUCUGCUAACGUAGUUAUGGAUGAGAGGCAAAUGAAUGCUCUAUUUCUCGAUCUGGUGAGCUUUUUUUUUUUUUCACUUUUUUUCUGUGGCACUUACGUCUUCCUUGGUCUAUUUUUGAUUAUAUAUAUAUAUAUAUCAGUUUUGAAUUAAACUUAAAUAACGAACAUUUUGGUUUAAUCCCCUUGCAGGUUAGGGUUAGCGAAUCAUACGGGCUGAAAUUUCCUCGAGAGUUUGCGCUUUUAAUGAAGCAACUUUUGUAUUUUGACCGGUACACACGAUUGCUUGCUCCGACCAUGAACAUGCUUCAGGAUCAGAGGAUUACCAUCGUCUCCAAUAGGAGGAUGAGGAACAUGAAUCAGAUCCCUUGAAGUUUCGAAAUCCCGUCCAUACAUCAAUGUUAUUUACUCUCAAAGCUACAAGUAUUCUCAUAUCUGUAUAUAAGUUGAUGAGUUUAUCAAGCACCCAGGAUUCAUGAGACACUUUCAUGUUACUGCAAUAUCUAAUUUUUCUGAUAUCAAAUGAAAAAGUAUUUGCAGUAUAAUCAUGUAAUCAGAUAUAUUGUCAAGGAUUUUAUGCUUCUAAUUGGUCUUUGGUCCUGUGCAUAGUAUUCUCGGUUAAUUAUGCGCUCGCUAUUUUGCUCUUGGCCGCAUUUUUGGUGGCCAUAGGAUUUGUUUGUCUCAGUUGAAACUUUUGCCUAGAACUAUUCGAAGCACUUAAAAACUUUUUGAAUAUCUGCUUCAUUCAUUAAGCAAAUAAACUAGGUUGCAUGAGUGAGGCAUCGAGAUCUCGAGGGGAACCGACAGCAAAGAAACCUGAAAAAAGAAAAUUAAAAGGAGUGAAAAAAGAAAAAAAAAAAAAAAAGGAGAACAUAAAAAUUCUUCAUUAAACAUUCCCAACAGCUUCUUUCAGUCUAAAGCAGGAGAUUUGAGUUAAGAGUUUUUUUUUUUAAAGAGUUUUAAAGCUCAUUUUAGCUUUCUGCUAAAGCAAUCGCUCUAUAAUUUUAGCAAUCGCUCUAUAAUUUUAUUUGUGAGAUAUUUAGCUGCUGCUGCUUCUCAAAUCUGAGAAGCCAUUUCAAAAGUUCAUAUUUAAGGUCUCCAGGAGUUAGUUUGAGGGCAAUAUGUAAUCUGCAGUAGUUGAACACUUCAUGGAAUAUCCAGCUUAAGGUAGUGCUCUGCACAAGGCACUAAAUCUAGGCUGGCACAAGAGGGAAAUGUUGACCCCUUAUUCAACUUUUAAUUAUUUUAUUUUGAAUAGUUUUUAAAUUAAAUUAGGAAUUUCUUAAAAUUAACAGCUCCAUUAGUUAUCAGUCAUGAAUAGUUUCAUGUUGGAUUCAAUAAAAUCACUGAUUUGAUAAAUAGAAAUAACUUAAAUCAAAAGGUUCUGAAGUUAAAAAAGGAAGGUGUCAAUCAGAAGAAAAAUAGCUGAGAAGAUCCCUUUACAUUUUUACCUGACAUAAAAUAUAUAUAUACCCUCUAUACCUCCAAAUUAUUCAGGUUUCAGAUGCUAAAGUAAAUUAUCUCAAAAUUGCUAAAACCAAUGCCUUAAUCUCAGACUAAUGAAGGGAGUUUUUUAUCCUUCAUCUAGUGUUCAUACAUAUGGGCUUCUCAUGUUCCCAUUGUUCAGUAGCAGAAUAAAAAUAGUACUAUUAUUAUUGCUAUGUGGUCUAAUUUACAAACAUAUCUCUGGGGUAUUCAGAUUCUGAAAAGGACAGGAAUCUUACAACCAACUGAUAUGCUUCUCCAGAGCAAGUUUCAUUAAUGUAAAUGACAAGAAGAUCCAUCAUUUUCUUUGCUGUAAAUUCUCUUACUUUUUUAGGCAACUAUUAGACCCACAUGGCCUUCUUAAUAAUUAAACAGAAAAUAUAAAUAAGCUUUGCUUUGUUGCUUUGUACUCUUUGAUGCAGUUCACCAUACACAACAAUAAAUUGGAGAAAUAAAAUAUUGCUCCAUGUGAAGUUGAGACAAAAACUAUUAAAACAACUAAGAGUGGCUCAAAAAAUAACUCAAAAUGUUAACUUAAAACCUUGUCCAUUUUUACCAUGUGGGAGAGAUUCCUCAAAUAUGGUGCUUAAUGGAGAUUUUGGCUACUUUACAAAAAAAAAAAAACAGCUGGGAAAGUAAUUAUUCUACUGGAUUCAAUUAAAUGGAAUGUUAUGUCCACUUUGAAGCAAAUUGGCAUUGAUUGUACUACUCAUUUGAGUCUCAAAUAUAUCAUAUCCAAUUACAACAGCUAUUUAAUUAUAUGAUAUAACCGUUAUUCUCCAAAAGAUUAAUUAUGUAGGAGCUUGACAAGACUCGAAUUCAGAACUUAUUGCUCUAAUACCAUGUUUAAUUAUAUGAAACAAUUAUUGUUCUCCAAAAGUCUUAAACUACCAGUGUUUUUAACAUUUUGUAGUCAACAAUAGCAACAUUCAAGAUGAGAACAAAGAAAUUUGUAGGAAAAACAAAAACCAAAUAUACAAGAAUGAAGAGUGAAAUAAAAAAAAAAAAAAAAUUGUAGCCCACACUUUUUUUUCCCUGUCAAAUGUUUUAGCUGUUCAAGGUUGACCAUUUACAUAUCUUUUUUUUGAACAAUUGACAAAAAAAAUAGGAGAGAAUCAUUUAUUAUAUCUGCAGCACAACACACUUGUAUACAACAGCAUAAACAAUAUAUGCCCUAUAAUAUAUUCACAACACAAAAUAGGUUAUCAAAACAUGGAAAAUUCUUAUCACAUUAAUGAAGAGAAAAAAAGAAAAAGAAAAAGAAAAAGAAAGAUGUUUCUCACCCUUUACUGAGUGAAUCAUAAGCAAAAUAGAAGGAGCUCUUCUCUAGUGCUCAUGUAGAAUAUUCAUUUCCCUGCGCCUCGGUCCAAUUCUCUAACAUGGCUCUUCGUGAAACUCUGUACGAAUUAGGUAUCAUCGAUUCGAAGCUCUCGUAGCCGUCAUCAAAAUUCCUGCUCUGGUACAGCAGCUCGCUCGCCGAAGUGUACCCCAUGAGCCGAUGGAGAGGCGAACCCGAUUCAUUUUCGCCCACUCGCUCUUCAGCAUAGCUUCUUGCAAAGGAAAUUUGAUAUUCUUUGGAAAUGCUAACUGGAUUCUUCCCUCGAGGAUGAUCCCCGGAAUUAGAAGCACCAGCUUCAGCUUCAGCUUCUAUAGUCUCAUCAAACUUGCUUUGUGGAUGAGCCGCUUCUUCGACAGGAGUCUGGGUACCAAUAAAAGCUCUAGCAGGGAACGGCAGCUUAAGCACUUCGGAGCAGGAACCGCAGCGCAGCUUAUUCAAUCUCUUUCUCGAUAUAAGAAAAUCGGUCGGCAUGUGAAGCAGAUUAAAACAAAUAUAGCAGACUACGAAAGGAGCGCCACCCUCGAUAGGCCGACAGUGGUUCUUUACGGCCGGUCUUUUCUCCUUGCUACUCGAUUUCUGAGACUCGGAAUCAAAAACGCUCGGACUAGUAAUGGAUAUUGAGGAUUUGGACGAGGAAUCGCGCACACUAGUUCGAUUAUCUUCGAAAUGACAACACGAACACGAAAACUGGGGCGUAAAUGGGAUUUGAUUGUACGGAAUUUGCAGGUUGCUGGUACGUAUGUUUUGCUCGUAAUAAGUUCCGUGGGUGCAAGAAACUGAGUUCGGACUAAAACAUUGACGCUGCUGAUGAUUCGAACCGGAAUAAUUCAUGCCGUCUCUGUGGUGAUAUUUUUGAUGGUCUUCUCUUUGAAUGGCUUUCUUGCUAAGUUGAUCUCUCAAUACAUCCAUCUUCCUCAGCCGCGCCAAUCGUUCGGUUUCAAUGUUCUUGAACUUGGAUGAUGCAUUUUGCGGCAAAUCCCAUUGGAAAGUCGGGCCCCUCUCCGAGCCCAUCAAGUUCUUCUGCAUGGGGUGAAAAUCUUCGGAGUCGAGCGAGGCUCCUCUUCUCGUAUCAAAGCUCUGCACACUAGCGGAAUAAUAGUCCUCAUGAGAGGAUUGCACGGAGAGGUUCCUCUUUUCAUAUUUCAAAGCAUCUCCUUCCUUUUCGUUAUUACUAUUAUUAGCGACAAACGCCCUUUGUCUAAAAGUUCGCCUCGACUUGGAGAGAUAACCCUCGCGGGUAUUACGACUGCUGCUCCCAUCUUCAGAAGAAAAGAUGCUUUCAUUGUAAGUGCUCGAGCUUCUACUAGCAGCAGAUUUCACGCUCUCAUCAUCGCGAUUGUCAUGCAUUCUAUUAACGAUAUCCUCGUCAGAACCAACACUACGAUCGCUGGUCGAUUUGUGAUUGCUUGGCGGUCGCCGAGAGGAUUUAAGAGAAUCAUCUCGAAAGUCCUUAUCUGAUCGGCGGUCCGCUUCGGCAUCGCCACUCAUCUUUUCGUAUUUCGAAGCAGCCCUUUCAUCUUCUAUUUUAUCACUAGCAACCGACGACGCCUUUUGUCGAAAAGUACGUCUCGAUUUCAAGUGGUGUUUACUAUGGGUGUGAUUACUGGAUCCGUCUUCAGAAGAAGAGAGACUUCCAUCGUAAGCAUUUGAGCUUCGAGUUGCAGCAGAUCGUAUGCUCUCAUCAAGGCCAUCACUACAAGCUCUAUCACCAACAUCCUCGUCAAAUUCAUCGGCCGAUUUCAUGUCGCUGUGACGUUUCCCACGGUGUCUUAUAGACCCCUCCUCUUCUUUAAUCAAAGAGCAUCGCGAACUUGGUCGAGAGUGCUCACCUUGCUCGCCAGAGCCUCUCUCUUCAAUUACAUUCCCACCCAGUUUCGAGGAUUCGCCACCUACUUUAUCAACAAUAUCAUCAUUUGCGGCUAUGCUACGAUUGACGUAGUGAGUUGAUUCUUCUAAUUCAUCGGUCAAUUUAACACUUCCCAUUUCUUCAACCAAAGAGCGAUGAGAAUCAUCUCGAGCGUCUCGACUACUAUUGAAACCAAGUUCGUUGGGGCCGGAACCUCUUUCUACAACUCCACCAUGUUUCGAAGUUUCUCCCUCGUCAUGAAGAUCAUAGUCGUUCUUCAAAUUAGGAGAGCUGUUUUCUAGUGCGAUUUUCUCUUCCUCACGUUCGACCUUCGAGAAUUGUUGAUUUGAGGUAAAAGGUUCCAUUCGUUCUGCCGACGAGACUGAUACGGCUUCUGCGGAAAUAUUUCUUGAGUGCUUCAAGGGAUGAUCGGUUUCGGCUGAUGCCGAAUUGGAAUUUUCCCCUCCGACAUUUUGAUUCUUUGCUGCGAAGUAGAGAGUAAUCAUGAGAAUGAUCUUUUAACAACAAAAGAAAAGAGAUAAACUGAGUAAGUAUUAUUAUACCCCGAAGAACCGCAUCACAUCCGCCACAUUUAUACACAGGAAUGUUAGGAUAUUCGACAAGAAUCUGGAGGCAUUUCGGGCAUCUCACGAACCGUAUUUUAGUCGACAGGCUCGCCAUUGUUGUUUCGGUACCUCAACUACGCAAAUCGAAUAUCUAAGCAGAAGCAAAAUGGAGUCGAUAUUACCUUCCGACGACAACGGCAGCGACCAAUCUUUAACCCCUUUCUUCACCUUUUACAAAAAUUUUGAAUCCAAUUCUUGCUUCCUACAUGAUGAGAAUUACAAAUUACGCACUUCUUACGCUUUAAAUCGCUAAGAUGCCUCAUCUAGUUAUAGUUUACCGACUAACCAUAAACUUAUAUAGAGUUAAUUUCAUAUUCAGAAGUAAAAAGCCCGAGAAUGUUGAUAUAUAAUCAUUUUCCGAAAUAGUGAUAGAAACACUGCGACAAGGAUAACAUUUCACGGAUUGACACCAACCAAGUAAUAAUAGCAAUUCUGUGGCAACUUGUUUAUAAGGUAAAUUGAAACGGGGGAUCUUAGAACACUAUUAGGGUGCGUUUGGUUCUCGCUAUCUUUUAAAGAUUCCUAGUAAUCCAAUGGGAAUAAAAAAAUAUGAUGGUGUUUGGCUAAACGCACUAAGUAAUCUAGUUGGUAAUAUUGGAUUCACUUGGGAAUAAGAUUCACCCCAAAGUACUAAUCUCAUUCCCUUGAGGGAGGGUGGGUAUCCUCAUAUUAAUGGAUUGAGAUAAUCAUAAUAUGUCUAAUCUCUUUCUUUCUUCCUACCCGCCGGCUAAUUAAUAUUAUUUUUCUUUACACUCUAACCUUCUUUCUCUCUCUAAACUUAUUUUCCUCUCUAAAAUUCAACUUUUUUUUCUCUCUCUAAACUAAGCUUUCUCUCUCUCUUUUUCUAAAAUUUCAACUCUCUCACUCCCUCUAAUUUCGACUAUAUUUUUCUUUCUAUUUUUUUAAUUAUGCUCUCUCUCUCUAACUUAUACUCUCUCUCCCUUUUUUCUAAAAAGAUGUUGAAACUUUUGGUAACAUUAUCUAAAAUUAAUUAAAUAAAUAAAUUAAUUAAUUGUAUAUUUUUUGCAAUAUUAAAUAACAUGGCUAAUUAAUAUUACCGUGCGAACCAAACACAGGAAUUCCACAUUCUUAGUAAUAGGAUGAAUAGGAAUAAGAUUCUCGGAUAUCUUUUAUUCCUAGUAAUCUUUCAUAAUGCGAACCAAACGCACCCUUAAAUGCAAAUCGAAGAACAUUCGGCUACCAAUUCUGUGCAGUAAGUAAAACAGGAGCCAUUUGGAUCUAGAAAGAAGGUGGUUAAGGUAUGUAGCUAUUAAUUCUAUCUCAUACUCUUAUCCUAUUUGUAGAUCAGCAAUAAAACAAGUCCACAAGUACCUCAAAAUGGCAACUUUUGCAUUUAUCUCCAAGAUCACAUGCAGAAUCUUAAGAAAGUAAGUUAAAGGGGAGUUUAAUACAAUCUAAUUAACAUUAAACCAAAGGAAAACAUUUUGGAAUUUACUUUCACAAUGCCCAAAAUUGGUUAAUCAGUAACCCAAAAUCUAAAAUUUAACCCAAAAGCUCCAAUAGCAACUAAAAUGUGGGAUUAAUUGAGAAAAAAAGAAAGAAAAAAGAAAGAGAGAGAUGCAAGCAACUACAACAUACCCAACAAGAAAAAUGGAGUAAAACAAAAAGGUUUGAUUUUGAACGAUUCAAAACAUUGAAUGCUUCAAAACCAACAACUCUGACAAUUCAUCAACACCACAUUGAUUCAUAUUCACGCUGAUAACAAAAUUAAGCAAUCCAUAACAACAACAAAAAAAAAAAAAGGGAAAAACCCCUCUAAAUUCACCAUUUUGGAAAAAAAAUCUCACCUUUGGACAAUAACAGCAUCUGGGAGCUUUCAAAAUCCCACCUUUUUGGGCUCCCCUCGUAGUUCCCAACCCAAAAAGCUCAGAGAACACAAGGAAACCGCUCCAAAGAGGAAACCCAUAAAUUAUUAUGCAAACAAAGGGUAUACGGAAGCAAAACAACAAAGGAAUAAUUGGUUGGUGUGCAAUAAAAAAUAAAAAUGGAAAAAUAGUAUCUUUAUUAUUGCACAGCUAAGAGAAACCAAUCAAAUACCCAACAAAGAGUAGAAUCUGAGAGGUGAGCACGAACUCAAAAAGGAACCAUUUUGAUGCUCAAAAAGGGAGCUUUUUAACCAAAUCUACAAAAGGGGUCAAUGGAGAGAAAACAAGAGAUUUUGGGGAAAUGGAGUUACCUCUCUCUCUCUCUCUCUCUCUCUCUCUCUCUCUUGUUUUUAUGUUUGUGGAGGAGGAGAGAGGAGGCGACUUCGUGGAAAAGCAGAAGCGUUGAUGUCCACUUCCCAAAGUCUCAAUAAAAAGUAAAAACUACUUCAAUUUCCAAGUCACAAUUGAAGAGGAUGAUUUGUAGCAAAAUGCCCCCAAAAAAAUAAAAUUUGUAAACUUCAAUUUACCCCCUCUGGUUUGUGCUUAAAUAGUCUCGCAUUCACUGACUGACCGUUCCUAGCACAAGAGGCAAAGGACUCGGUGGUUGGUAUCUGAGAUCUCAAGUUCGAAUCCUGAUUGAUUCAUAUUUCUAGCUAAGUUUAUUUUUAAAUAAAGCAAAACUAGUCUCGCAGUUUUAUUCUUGAUUAACUUCAAUUUGUACCCUGCGCAGCAGCUGCGCUAUAACGCAACUUCACUUUACCACCUCGUAGUUUAAAAAAUUAUAUUUAAUUAUUUUUAUUUCACAAGAUCAUAUAAUAUCCUGUUUAAUAAUAAAUUCUUGUUGUGAAAUAAAAAUAAAAUCACAUAAUUCUUAAGUGUAACUUUCUAAAAAGUUAUACUACUCUAUUGUCUUCUUUUUUUUUUUUGGUUUCACCUUAAGCACUUAUAGAUAAAUAGAGUUAAAUAAGGUAGCAAAAUUAUAAUUUUUAAAAAUGACAUAUCACUAUCUUUUAUUAUCUUAUUUAACUCUGUUAAAUAUUAUGUCCUUGUGGAAAAAGUAAAUAUAAUAUUAUAAGAUAGUUAAAUAUAACUUUUGAAUAACACCAUGACGUAGCGAAAACGCGCUAAGUAAUUUGGCCAUAUGAGAAUAAACAAAAUUUAUCUAAGUACAGCAUAUUUUGAAAGAGACACUUCAACUUUUUUUUUUUUGAAUUAAUAUAUUGGCGACCUAUAUAUAUAUAGUUUAAUCUUAUUUAAGCAAUUAUGAUUAGUUAAGUUAAAAGUUUUACAUUUAACUACUCUAUUAGUUAUUUGUUAUUAAUUAUUUUAAUUUCAUAUAUACAAAGCUAUUAAAUUUAAUAACUUUGAUAAAAUAAUCGGUAAAUUAUGAAAAAUUUAACUUAUUUUGCCCCUUAACUAAAACUACUUAACUUUAAGAAGCUAUAAGUUGAAAAAAAAAAUAUCAAACAAAUGAAAUAAGGUUGAGGAGGUCAAUGAAUUUUCAGGCAAAAAUAAACUGAGCUUUAAGUUUAUUUAUUUAUUAUUAUUAUUAUUAUUACCUUUUAUUGACGGUUAAAUUUUAAUUUGCUAUCUUUGGUUUAACUCAUUUUUACUUUGGAUCAAAAAUUUGCACUUAACUGUUAUGUAAUUUUUAUAUUUUUUUCAAAAAAUAAAUUAUCAAAUAGGAUAUCAAAGUAAAACGUUUUAUAAUCACAGAAUAAUUCAUAUAACUUUUUAAAUUUUAAGGUGACGAAGUUAAAAAAAAGCUGAACCACAAAAUAGUUAAGUGUAACUUUUGAACCACAUAAUGGCAAAGUGAAAAUGAGCUUAAACAUAAAAAGGCAAAUUGAAGUUUACCGUUUAUUAAAUAAGUAAACAAAAUAUUAAAUUUUAAAAUAAUACUACUAAAUGAAGCUAUUAAUAUUUAGGAAUCCCCAAUUCAAAUUGUAGAACAAUAAUUCAAACUACAUAAAAAAAAAAAAUUAAGGGAUCUCAUUCAAAAUUCCCCAAAGUCGAGGGUCUCUCAGCACUUUUUUCCCCCCAAAAGUUUUACUACUACGUGGCGUUUUUAAUGCAAAAGUUGGGGUUGAAUCAUUUGUUUUCGUGCAAAUUUAGGAUGCUAUGGUACAAUCCUAAGUCAUAAAAGUGUCUAGAGACUAUAAAUUCAGCGACAGUGAGAAUUACAUCCAAUAGGUCAAAGAAGUACUUCCGUGUGUUAAUUAUUUGUUGUACUUUUUUACUAUUCUCUCUCUUUUUUUUUUUUUUUCCUGUACAGUAAAUUGAGCUUUUGCUUUAGCAAAAAGUUAAAUAUUUUUUGAAUAUAACUUAAAAACUCCUAUAUUGUAAUUUAAGAAAGUUUCUCGAGCUGUAUUAUAGUUUAGGAUUUAUUUCAUACAGAUCUCUACAAAUAUAGUAAAUGAUAAAUAUAUUUUUAUAAAAUUUAUUUUUUAUAUGUUGUUCUUAUGAAAAUUCUAAUGUUUUCUAACGGUUCUGUAACGAUAACAAAUCAGAGGAAUAUAUUUGAAAACAUUAGAACUUUUCUAGAAAUAACAUAUGAAAGUUAUCGACCGUUCCUAGAGCAAGUGGCAAAGGGCUUGGUGGUUGAUACCCGAGACCUAAGUUCGAAUCCUAGUUGAUUCACAUUUCCAGCUAAGUUUAUUUUUAAAUAAAAUAAACGAAGCGGGUAGCAUGCUAUUUUUCUCUCUCAAAAAAAAAAACAAAAGUUGAACUUUGUAGGAAUAUAUUUAUCAUUCACUAUGUUUGUAGAGACCUGCACGAAGCUAAUUUUAUAGUUUAUUAAAUUGUCAUAAACAAAUAGUUACGAGUAGAACGUCUUAUUUUUCCAACUCAAUAGUUUAUCGUAUUUAAAAAAGCUACCAAAUUAUACACAAUAAUAAUGAGAGAAUAAUAGGCAAACAUUUUUAAACGAAUAUAAUUUUUCGCUCGAAUAUCCUUUUUCAGCGUGCAAUUCAAAUUCAGAAAAUACUUUUGGAGAACUACGUGUCGAAUCACAAAGCUUUUUCAGCCGAAUUUAGAGCCCAAAUUUAACAAUUUAGGCCUCCCAUUAUAAUUUAGUAUUUCUGUCAUAUAAGAAUUUACAAUAAUUUUACUACUUCACUUACUCAUUUUACAACUACCCAACUUAAGUUGAAUAAUUAUUAUUUGAAUAUUUUCAAUAAAAAAAAAUUAUUGUACUAUACAAAUACAAACCGCGAAUCAAUUACAGGCACUUAUUAGUGUAUAGAUCCCAAAUACAAGAAACUUAUUUUGACAUCUUACCGAGCCUCAAGUGGCUUUUCUUAGGAAGUUCAUAGUAAUGUUAUGAUUUUUUACACAUUUUACAACACUUAAUUAAUAUGCAGGUAAAAUGAUAGUUAUAAUGAUUAGUGAAAAGAGACAAAUUAAAAUUUGACUCACUAGUAUAUAUGUAAACUUUUUUUUUUUUUUGCAAAAUCUAAAUAAUAAAACCGUUGCGUGACAACUAUAUAUAUUACAUCUCUAUAAAAAUUCAACAUAUUAGAUAGCGACUUUUGAACAUUUCCUUUCAAAAAUAAAAAUAUAUAAUAAAAAUUGAACUUAGAGUUUUCAGCGGCUUGGGCGCAUGUGGCAGACGCGCCGAACAAACAAAAUUUCUUCUGUCCUCCUAAAAUAUCAUAAUUAAUAUAAUUUAAAAUAUUUUAAAUAGAAAUAAAAUUGGUGCAUAGAUUGUAUAUGAAAAAGUAACAAGUGGAACAAUAAAUUAUUUUUAAAUAUUUUGUGUACUAUAAGGUGGCCAGUGUGAGUGCAAAGUGUGACACCUCAGAAUUGCAUGAGAGUUUACAACUGACACUGUCAUGUCUGGCCUUCAAUGGAGGACAGCUGUGCUGUACAGCCACCCUUUACCUAAACCUAAGUGCAGCCGGCAGCAGCAAUUUGGAAGGUGCAGCUGAUGAUGAUUAAUGAGAAGAUUAGAAGAAGAAGAAGAAGAAGAAGAAGAAAUAUGUGUAAAGGGGGAAGCAAAAGGAGAAAUUUGGUCAUUUAAUUCAUGCUAAUUUGGAAUUUAGUCUUCGCUCGUGAUUGCAAAAAAGCAUACGCUACGUGCGAUAGAAAAGUGCGAUACUGAAAUAUUUUAUUUAUUUCAAUAAAAAAAUAAUAUGACGCGUAUAAUUUUUUAGAUCUUAUUGAGAAACAGUCAAGUAUAUUCAUGCAUGUUUGCAAUAAGUUUUAUUAAAAAAAUUUAAAAUAACUAUUAUUCUCUAAUAGUUUAAGCUAUUAGAAAUUGUCUGGCCUUAAAAAAAAAUUUUGAUAGGUCCAAAAAAUAAACUUGAAUUAUAUAAACAAAAAAUUAAAUAAUAAUGGGAGCCUGACGGAACUCAAUCUCAGAAUCUUCUACUUUUGUAUUAUAUUAAAUUAUAUAAAAUAAAUAAUAUUCUUUAAUAGUUUAAGAUAAAAAAAAUUAUGUUUUUUAAUAUUUAUAUUCAAUACUUUUUCUCAUAUUUAAGUUCAAAAUAUUUUGAUAGACUCAAAACGAUGAAUAUUAAUUAACUAGAAAAAAAAUAAAUUAUUAAAAAAUAAUAUUUUUUAAUAAUUAUAUAUAUUCAACAUCUCUUCGCAUAUUUGGGUUCGAAACGUUUUGAUAGACCCAAAACGCAAACUUAAAUUAAUUAAAUAGAAAAAAUUAGAUAAUAAUAGAAGUUUGACGAAAUUUAUUCGUAGAAUCUUUGAUAAUGUUGCCAUGUUAAAUUAUGUAAAAUAGUCGUUAUUUUUCAAUAAUUUAAGCAACUUAAAAUAUAUAUAUAUAUAUAUAUAUAUUUAAUGAUUUAUACUCAACAAUUUUAUAAUUUAUAUAUAUUUUUUUCUUAAAAAAAACAAUUGAAUUUAUUCAACUUGGAGAAGGGAAACGUGCGUGGCGAGAGUGUGCGGUGGCGCCUUUUCGCUUUUUAGAUCACGUGAUUAGCCCUAAGAUCGAGGUGGUUCCGAUUUCACGUGAAUCACCACCGUUGGUUUUCCUUCACGCGAAUCACACCGUUGGCUUCAUGAUCUUUUUUUUUUUUUUUCGUGAUGCAUGUUUAAAAUUCUAGCCGCUGCAUUAAAUACAAGUACAUAUACAAGUACAAGUACAAGUACAAAUACAAAUACAAAUACAAAUACAAAUUAUGAUCUCUUAAUGUAAUAUGAAAAAUCACUCUGCCUCACUCGAUCACAGCUUAAGGUUUUGAAUUAGAUCCAAAUCCUUCUAAUAAAUAAAUAUAAACGUAGGCCGAGCUCAUUUUAUUGGUUCCCGAUAUCAAAAUAAUAAAAUAAAAAUAUAAUUUAAAAGUAGAAUCAAGAAAAGUGAAAUUUAAUAGGCUAGAUAGUGUUUUUUGAAAUCAAUAAAAGUAUUUUGGUCGAUCAUGAAUAAAUUUGAAUACGAAUAUGAAUAAUUUUGUAUUUAGGAGAUUCGAGUACUUUACAGGGUGUGGGUGACAUGCAUAUGCCAUUUGUUUAAUUAUAUUGGGCACCCCUAAUUCAUAUGUUUUCAUUUGCUACAAAUAAAUAAUUAUUCAUGGAAAAUGGAAUUUUGAUGUAAGAGAAUAUCUAUUAUUGGGCUUGUUAAAUGCUAUUUAUGGGCCAGUAAUGGGCUGCUCAUUUGGGAUGUGGCCCAUUAAUCUCAAUCAUUCACUACUCCUGUAAUGAAAACUAGUGUUGAAAAAAUCUUUUUCAUCUUUUAUUAUAAUAUUCUUUAAAAUAAUUCAAAAGUUUAAUUUCAGUUUUAGAAAAGAUCCGAGGAAGAAAGUAAAUAAUAAAUACUGUAAAGAAAAAUGAUUAGAAAAAAUCUGUGGAUCGAGGCGCACUGAGCACUGCCCUAGAAAUAAAAUUGCCUCUCUACGUGCGAGGCUUUCCGGCAAUUACUUCCAGCGAUACAACCACCACGUUUCACCCCGUCGGCACGCUUUCAAGGUGAUCCAAGACGAACCCAAUAGGUUUCAGACCCAGCAAAGAAAGCUGGGUGAAAAUCGGCGCAAAAUAUCAAUGACGAGAAAAUAGGAAAAGACGAGAUAGGGUUUAGCUUUUAGGUAUUCUCGGGUUCUUGUUGAACUCACGCAAUCUACUCCAAUAUAUAUAACUAAGGCGAGAAUCUUACUUCAACGCGUUAAUUUCGUAUAAAAUGAGAUAUGCCUAAGAUUAUACGGGAUACAGAUUAGGAUUAGGAUUAUAAUAAAAUUGAAAAAAUAAAAAUAAAAAUAAAAUAAAAUAGGUGUAUGGACCGCACACGCCACCGCCCGCCUAGCCCGGACCGGCUCAUGCUCGUGCCGUGCGUGUGUGUUUAAACGAGAGUAUAACUCUCAUUUUCUCCCAAGCAACUAGCUUGAGAAUAAAGGAAUAUAUAUACACAAACAACACCCUUUUAGUUUCGAAUAUGAUACUAAAUCUCACACGUGAAAACUUUAGUUGGGCUCCUAAGCAAGGCCUAUUAAUUAUUGGGUUGCCCAAGAAGCCUAACAAGUUCUAAAUCACAAAAAUCAAGUAGAAUCCAACAUUAUUGGUGUUGUUAAAUGUUAUUUAUGGGCCUGUAAUGGGCUGCUCAUUUGGGAUCUGGUCCAUAGUGUAGAAUAUUUAAGUUCGAAAGCUUAAUCUCAAUCCUUCACUACUCCUGUAAUAAAAACUAGUGUUGUAAUCCGUGCGAUACAGCGAAUAAAUAAUUAGAAAAAAAUAGAAAAUGGCGAUAAAAGAAAAGAAAAUAGCGAUGGAAGAAGCAACACUAAGGAUGGGAUUUAUCUUACAGAUGGAGAAAGGUAACAGUUGAAGGAAGUGAAAGAGGAACAGUUCGGCCCAAUGUAAAGGUGUGAUCCGAUUCGGUUUAAGCAAACAAAAAGAAAAAUCUGGUUUGAUUCAAGCAAAAAAAAGAAAAAAAAUAUGUAGAUGACUUGACACUAUAACAAAAACGGUCUAUAGCGAUACUUUUAAAUGUCGGUACAAGUCAAAAAAAAGUGUUGCUGGCUAAAUUACCGACACUUUUAAAAAGUGUUGCUACAUGUGGGGUCGCUAGGUAUAUAGUAACAGUUAAAGAGUGUCGCUAUAACCUAAAAAAGUGCUACUAAUUUACCAACACUUAUUUAAGCAUUUAGCAACCGCCGAAACUCUACCUCGUUGGCUGCGGUGGCGGAGGAGGACAAGAGGGAAAGGAUUUUCGUCUAGAAUUUCAGUGGAUUGAGAGAGAGAAGAAAGGGAGAUAGUAAUUUUUUUUUUUUUUUCUUUUCUGUUUGUAAUCGGGCCGAAUUGGCUGGGUGGGAUGGGUUGAGUAGAGUAAUAUUUUAUUUUUAGUUGGAUUGGGCUUUAUACUUAGCCAUUAGUAAAUUUUUUUUUAAGUUUUGGUAUAAAUUGGACACUUACAUAAAAGUGUCCCAAAUAUAUGUUCUUAUAACCUAAUUCUGUUGUAGUGUGAGUCGGUUCGGAAGAACCUAUUCUAAACAAUGAUUGAUUCGAUUCAAACAAAAAAUGAGAAAAUUCUAGUUCGGUUCAAGUAAAGAAACCGAAAAAUAUGCGGAGAAGUAGUGAAAAUGACAUGUUUUUUUCAAUAAACAUUCGUAGUAUUUAAUUUAUUUGUG